UUGUUUUGGCAUUUUCGGUUUCUGUUUUGGUAUCAGACUGUGUGAAGAGGCUGCACUUAUCUUUCAGGACCAAGAACUUGGAAGUGGAACAAAGCCUGACUCAGAAAAAAGGGGGUGAAG
ensembl:lncRNA